AGCGAACGCUGGCGGCAGGCCUAACACAUGCAAGUCGAACGAACCCUUCGGGGUUAGUGGCGGACGGGUGAGUAACACGUGGGAACGUGCCUUUUGGUUCGGAAUAGCUCCUGGAAACGGGUGGUAAUGCCGAAUGUGCCCUUUGGGGGAAAGAUUUAUCGCCAUUAGAGCGGCCCGCGUCUGAUUAGCUAGUUGGUGAGGUAAAGGCUCACCAAGGCGACGAUCAGUAGCUGGUCUGAGAGGAUGACCAGCCACAUUGGGACUGAGACACGGCCCAAACUCCUACGGGAGGCAGCAGUGGGGAAUCUUGCGCAAUGGGCGAAAGCCUGACGCAGCCAUGCCGCGUGAAUGAUGAAGGUCUUAGGAUUGUAAAAUUCUUUCACCGGGGACGAUAAUGACGGUACCCGGAGAAGAAGCCCCGGCUAACUUCGUGCCAGCCGCCGCUGUAAAAC
rnacentral:rRNA from 1 species